ACUCAACUCCAUUUCUGUGCAAAUAUGAAAACAGAUUUCUUCUCUUUAAUUAUAUCAUAUCAUAACCAUCAUAAAAAAAUGCUGGAAAAUAUUCAAAACAUAUAUAGAUACAUAUACACAUUGUACAAGGUAAAUAAAAAUGUGUACUAUAUACCAAAUAAACAUAACCAAAUUAUCACUCAGAACCUAAAAACAAAACUCACUAUAUACAACAGGAAUUCGCUCAAUGAACAUUGGAACUUAUCCCGCGCCUUCAUUUUGGUCGACGGUGUCACUAUAGUCUUUGAAUGUAUCAAAAUACGAAAACAACAUUGA